UCUUGUGCUCUACAAUACUAUUGUAAGAAUGGGUAUUUGCCAACAGCCAGUUUAUGAUGGAUGUUAUUAAAAAAAAAACUAAUUAAAUAUUUGUAGAAGACCGUGAACUAAAUCAACUUGAACAUAUUUGACUAUAAACAAAAUAAUAAAACUGCAAUGAAGCUUAUUUUUGCUAUAGCUUUUGUCGUCGUAUUUUCCGCCGCUUUUGUGGAAGCAGGUGUUUUCGAUAACAUAAAAGAACCCAUUGAUGAUAAAUAUGAAAGUUACUUUUCUAUAUUUUAAAAGGUCGUUCUUUUAUUUCGUACUUUUUUCUUGUUUAGGAAAAUAUUUAUUUUAUAUGUCAUCCUCAAAUUAAAAAGGAAAUUAUCAGGCAGCUAAUUAAGGCUUCUGUAGCUGGUGUUCCAGUUUUUGAUAGUACAUUCCGCAUGAGAGUGGAUAUGUUCAUUCAAGACCUUAUUUACAACAAAAAGCUGGUCUCUUCACCUCUUGAUUGUGUGAAUAGCGUUAUGGAUGAAAUCAAGGCAUUCACCUCGGUUUGAUUUGGCAAAUCCAUUAAAAUAAUAUGUCUGCUUUUAAAUGUAUUGAAUAUAUUGUCGGUAAACUAAAAUAUACAUCUUAUGAAAAACAAGUAGAAAUCCAGCACCUUAUGACAGUUGAGCUAAAGACACGUAUCAGCGUUUUGAAAGAUAACAUCAAGAAGUAAAGGGGGCAAGUU